UUUGGACAUUAAACAUGUAGUACAACCAAGUGUCAUUCUCGAUACGUGAAAAUUUACAAAUUAUGCGUUACGCCAAAUGUCUCAGUUCGUUCACCAAAUUUCGGAGCUUCGCCGCUUUGACAUGUUACUUAUUCGGAAACGUAAUCGCGGCCGACGUCAACGAUUCGAAUCACAGCUUCGGGCACUUGUACAAAUGGAGAAACGCGCGAGAAGGCUUCGAAGAAGCUAAAAUCAGCCGAAAGCCGAUAUUUCUUCUGGUUCACAGACCGGGCUGUCCCACGUGCGAGCAAUUGAAGCCCAAAUUCACGAAUUCCGUCCGAAUUCUCGAUCUCAGCCAACACUUCGUUAUGGUGGAUGUGAGAAAAGGUGAAGAUCUCGCGGAAGAUGAAGCGAGAUUUCAACCGGACGGAACUUACGUUCCGCGAAUUCUCUUCUUCACUCCGGACGGCGAGUUUAUGGAGGACGUUUACAAUCGUCAUCCGAAAGCCGACAAUGAAUACAAGUACUUCUACAGCAGCACGAGUCAAAUAAUAGAUAGCAUGAUUUUGGCUUUGGAACGUCUCAAGGAGUCCAAAGGACUGUAUAAACCGAAAAAACUGACAAAGUCCGGAAAGGAUAAUCGACUUAUCGAAUAAAAACAGAUACCAACAGAAUUGAACCUUGCAUUUGAGUCUGCGCUGAUGUACGAUAUAUAUUAUCAGAUUCGGCGCUACGUCCAAUAUGCAGGGACCUAUAAGCGAGCUCGCAGAGAUGUAAGCUAGACAGCGCUUGCGUUUGCAACAGUUGCCAGAUGGCAAACCGGAUUCGCAUUGGCCGACGAGAUCGCAACAGAGAGGAACUCGUCGUAACCAACCCCCUCGUAACCACGCCCAUUUCGUUCCUCCCGUUCAUGGAACAUGCGACUAUUAUCCUUCAUACGCAACAUAAAAUUGAACGAAAAGUAAAACCGAUCCGAGCACCUAACGGUCCAAGAGCAUCGAAACGACAACGACGACGACGAUGGCGGUGGCGGCGGCGGCGGCGAAUAACUUUACGCUAGCGAUUUCGCAGGACAAGCGGGAGAGAGCUUACGCACACGUUAUACGUUAUGUAUGGAUCUCUCUCUCUCCGCGGACGCGGUUCUGUGUUUGAAGGGUUGCGGAUAAUAUAUAGCCCGUUUCGGCGGAGAGUGCUUUUUAGCUUUGACCGUUUCACAUCCGGCCGUAGACCGACCGACCGGACCGGGGCUAUUGCGGCCCGUAAUAUCGCACCAGCUCUCCGCGCACAUAUCUAUAUCUCCGCGCGCGUCCGUCACUUUUUUUUUUCCCCGCAGAGUCCUGACCACCACCCCAGGAUUCGCAGGCUUUAAAAAAUGCGCCGGGGACAUUAUUUCUGCCCUCGCCCCCUCCUCGCAACUCUCCUGGCACAGACUGACCGAUCCAGUCGCCCGCUAUCUCUUUCUCUCUCUCUCUCUCUCACUCUCUCCCUCUCUACCUCCCGUCGUUUCCACCCAACGUCGUUUCCGCCGGCGCAGCUUGCAAUGUGCCGCAUCAGCGAAUGUGCAAAAAUGAAGAGAGAGGACUCGCCAGGGGGGAGGUGUAACGAGGGGUGUCGAGAGAUCGAGAGAUCGCCGAGAGUGGGAGAGAGAGAAGGAAGGAAGAGAAGAAGAAUUAUAUAUCUCUCUCAUGUCUCUCCCUCGUCCGUUCGUUCGGUCGGUCGUUUCGGCUCGGAUAUGCUAGGCGGGUAGAUAUAUCGGAAAAGCCAGGGAGCCAUUUUCAAUUCAAUCUGUUAAAAGCACGUCAAAAAGUCAUACGGUAUUUCACCGGCGCGGUAGAUCGCGACGAGAUAUCGCGCGAGCUUCAACGCAACUCCCUCCCCCCCGCGCCCGACCUUUCCCCCCACUGGAAGCGGGCUUGAAUGGAGUAGAGCGAUAUAUGGAUUCACAUGAGUGUGUGCACCGACAUGUGCCAGUGUCAUCUAAGGAUGUGCGAGAUUAACGGACAAUCGUCAUCGUCUUGGAUAUUUUAUAUAUGUAAUUUUUACAUGCAACACAAUCUCUCUUCUUCCCGUAGUUCAAAAAAAUUUACAUUUUACAACCUUCCGUUGAUCACCCAAGUUACUCGAGCAAAUUUCGUAUCUCGAAUUGUGAGAGAGAAACCCCCACAUGAGGGGGUUUACAUACACUUUGUGUUAAACACAAAGUAAAACAGCAUUGUAUUUUAUCUCGCAACGCGCAACAGGCAAGUAUAUUUUCACGUAACACUAUUGGGAGAGAGAUUUUACGUGAGAUAAUCUCUUCCAAUCGAGCGAUUAUUGUAUUGCCAUUGAACAAACAGGUUACACUACGAGUUCUUCGAUGUUGCAGGAAGAAGAAAAGCUAUGGGAACCGCGUUAGGUGCAAGCACCUACUUUACCUGUGAUUUCUUUGUGCGGCUUUGACGUGGCGACUAUAAUCUAAUCUCGCUUAUCCGAUCGCGACACGAUUCAAUUCAAUCGGCCCGUGUGCGGUGCCAACUCCGGGGUCAACUCGACGUUUGCAAACAUCGUAAUUCGAUAUAUUGCCGCGAUCUCGAUCGCUCUAUUUACCUCGAGGGAGAUUACAACGCACAGCUCGAGGGAGAGAUCUCGAGUGCGUGGGCGAACAAUGGGCGUCGUCGAGCCACUCGACAUCAAAGAUAAAUCGGAUACUUUUGGAAACAUUUCACGAGCGCAAGAAUUAUGAAAACCCGCGAGAUAAAGAGAGAUCGAUCGAUUUUUUGCACACGUACUCUCUUCAAGUAGCACGGGAGAGAAAAAUUUAUGAAAUGUGUAAAAAACAAACGUAAAAAGUCACGUUUUCAUCAACUUUCGCGAAGAGAGAUUGAUUCGAUCGUGUACGAUCUAAACCCGAAAAAGAAAGUGCUAUCGAAUCUCUGUAAUUGCGUGAUGGAUAUUUCCAUCUGCUUCAAAACUUUUUCAAUUUCGUGUUUUUUGAUAUCGUGUGCAAAAAAAUUACGCGAUACUUUAUAAAAGCGGGCAUGUAUUGGCGUACCUAUUGGUUUAUUGAUUUCCCCAUCAGUGCAUACAUUCGCUUUGAGUGACCGAGGAGUAAAAAAAAGGUCCGUGCU